GUUUAGAUAAUUUUUUGUUGAAAUGUUGGGUUUAGCACUUUAUUUUACCUUGAUGUUUUCUAACUUACACAGUUGAGUUUAAUGUCCAUUCAUUUUAAUUUAGUUAUUCAUAUUCACAAAAACACUUUUCAAACCCCCCCCCCUUUUUCGUGUUAGACUUGACUCUGAACCACAGUUGGUCCUUAAGAGACGACCUAGAGGUCAUUCCCUAGCAUUAUACUGCAUUUCUAAAUUGCAAUCAAAUUUGUAUGGGUCGCGACACCCAUCAGUGACCUCCUAAACACUUGAGUGAUUGAGUAAAACACUUGCUUGGUGAGAAUUGUU
rnacentral:lncRNA from 1 species